rnacentral:lncRNA from 1 species
GAACAGGAUAAAAGAAUACUGGAAGUAUUGGAAAGCUGUCAAAGAAACCACUAUUACAAACUCACCCAAAAUAAUCUUAAAAUUAAUUAAUUCAGCAUUACUGUUUCCUUUGCAAUGUGAUUAUAUGAGCAAGCAGCUGGAUUACUGAGAGCAUCCAGCUCACAUUUCCUCUUUUGAAACGAGCUGUGGAAAUCUUUAUACCUUGCCAGGAAAGAAAUAGAGAUGCCAUAAAAGCUUUGUCCCAGGAGUUCCCCUUACAGAUGCCACAUGUCCAAGGAGGGGCCCUCACGUCAUCCCUCACUAUGGGUGCUCCUGAAAGCAGAAGUCACUUCAUGGACCACUGCUUUCAGUGUCUGUGGUGAGGGCAGUGAGCCUGGUUCUGCUCCAACUCUAGUGGCUUCUUUAUUCAAGAGAGCAGUGGACAGCGGUAGCCAGGAAGAACACUUCUGACUGAGAGGGUAAGAAAGGGUUCUGUGGCAAGGCUUCAAAGGAUUGCAGUGGGGCUGCUGCAAGCCAGCCAGAGCAAAUACAGAGAGGGGAUGGGAAAAACAGGGUAAUGAUAAUAAUGGAGUUGCACAAAAAAGUCUGAAUCUUGAGUGGUAAUAUUGCUGAAGAUGAUAGGAGGUAAAGUUAGUGGCACAGUCAAUAAAACAAAAAGUGUGCAGAUGAACA